UGUACUUGAACAACAAUAAAAAAUUUAAAAAAUAUGUAGAAAAUCUGUAAGAGGAGAAGAAACGUGGACAUUUAAAAGUGUUUCUACUGUUAGUCUCUGUGAGGAAAGAAAGAAUUUGCUCUAAGCAUGUUGUUCUCAGUUUUGUAGAAAUUCUUUUGAAUCCCUUUUUAUUCAUCUUCUCAGCAAAUAUUGACUGAGUGUAUUCACUGUGCUUUUACUGGCUAUACUAAAAUAAAUAAGGUAGGCACAGCCUCUGCCUUUGAAGUAAGAAGAACAGAAACAGAAAGAGCAAUAGGUAUGUACCAGGGUUGUUGUAAGUCACACAUGAGAUGCAUGGUCCCUAACCGUAACACACAGCCCUCUAAGGCAAAUUUUAUUGCAUCCAUGUUCAAGAUGAAGGUACCAUGGCUCAGACUUGAAUUGUGGACUCCUGGCUUCAAAGCCAGUGACUGAAGCCCCUGCGUUCACCCCUCUCAAUGACUCAUUCUUAUGGCCAAAUUAAACUCCUGGAGGACAUAUACAUUAUCAGUUUCUCUCAGUUCAUUAAAUCAACAGUAGUGACUAUUUUAUUAUUUACAAAGCUCUGCUUGGCAAUGAGACAAAUAAAAAUAAAUAAAAACUUACCUCAUGCCUUUGAUCAAAUAACUCUAAGAAAGGAACAUAGUGUCAUGUUCUUCUUUGUAACCCCAGGUGUGACUGUCCUGUUGGUUAUAUGGGUUGCACUGGCUUUCCCCAUGUGCAGUAAGGAGAAUGGUAGCCCCGUCUCUCUCUGAGAGAGCCCUGAGCAGUCAGACCAGGUUGAACCUGCGAAGCCUACUCCCUUCUGGGUUGUUCUGAUGCCCAGAGGACCCACCUGGUCCUGCAGCUGCUAAAGGGUUUUGCUGGAAACAUUGCAGCCCCCCAGAGCCCUUUUCCCAUGUAACUGGGCCCAGAACAGCAGAAACAGGAUUUUUAGGAUAGCAUUUUUUAAAAUUUUUAAUUGAUUUUAGAGAGCAGGAGGCAUUGAUUUGUUGUCCUACUUAUUUAUGUAUUCAAAUUGGUUGCUUCUUGUAUGUGCCCCAACCAGGCAUCAAACCCGCAAUCUUGGCAUAUCUGACAACAUUCUAACCAACUGAGCUACCCAGCCAGGGCAGGAUAGGAUUUCUUUGACAUCAGGGUCUUUGUCCUUCAUGGUACACUGGUAGCCACCAGCACUCUCUCAUUCAGAAAGACACAAAGUAGAAAAUGUAAGUCUUAUUUACCAGUAUUCAUCUUGGUGUAACAUGAAUAGAUAUAUUACUAGCUAACAAGCUUUUUUCCCCUCUGCUUUAAAAUCUUUUUUUUUUUUUUACCACUAAUGGAGCUGCUUAGAAAGUUAUCUUUAAUGUAUGUCAUUACACUCAACAAUAUCCUUGUGGUUUGAAAAACCCAGUGUCCCUUUCACUUAGCAGAUCAUGAAGCAGUAGCCAGAGCAGAAGGAAAAUUAGGGUGGGUGGAGAGAGUAAGUCCCCCAUUGAAGCCAAAGGAAGAGUAUUUCAAGGAGAGGAAUGUCCAGUAAGGUUAAAUGGGCCAGUGGGAGUGACUUAGGGUGCAGUUAACAGAAAAUGCCUUAGCAAACUAGGUGAAACAUUAAAGAAAUGUAUUCUCUUACAUAAAAGAGAGAGAGCCAAUGUUAAAGGAGGGUGGUGGUGUGUUUUCUCUUCCCAAUCAUAGUUCUUUUCAACCUGAGCCAAUUUGGUUCAUAUGCACAGCCUGGACCAAUGCCAAUCACCAGAGGAAAGCCAGCCUGGCUGCCCUUGAAGAUGCGGUCACUCUUCCCUGAAACACAUUAGGAGAAAGUAGAAACCUGAAUAAAAUUUGGGUUUGGCAGUAAAGGAAGAAUGGAGAAAUAGAAGCUGGGGAGACAGCUAACAAUGAGUACUACAAGUAUCAAGUGAGAUGAGGGUUGAAGAAGCAGGUCGGAUUUAACAACGUGGUGAUACUUGGAUGCUUUGUGGUGUGAUGAUGGAUUGCAGUGGGCUGAGGAUUGAAGGGGAGGUGAAACUUGGGUAAACUGUGUGUAGACAGCUCUUUCAAGAAGUUUUGCUCUGCUUGUCCUGGCCUAUGCUUUCUCUGCUCCCCUGUGCUCAAUUGUAACAGAGGAGUCCGGCAGGACACACAGCAAUCUCCCUCUCAGUUUAGGAGGGCCGUCCUGAGUAUAGGGCUGGCUCUUAAAGGCACGAGAGGACAAUAAUAAAGAAAAAAAAAAGAAAAAGAAGAAGA